rnacentral:tRNA from 1 species
UCUAAUGUGGCAGAAAAUAUGCAGUAAAUUUAAGCUUUAUGAAUAAGAAACUAUCUUUAUUAGAA